GUCUAUGGCCAUACCACCCUGAACGCACCCGAUCUUGUCUGACCUCGGAAGCUAAGCAGGGUUGGGCCUGGUUAGUACUUGGAUGGGAGACCACCUGGGGGGAUACCGGGUGCUGUAGGCU